rnacentral:rRNA from 1 species
CCUACGGGGGGCAGCAGUAGGGAAUAUUGGGCAAUGGGGGCAACCCUGACCCAGCCAUGCCGCGUGAAGGACGACUGCGCUCUGCGUUGUAAACUUCUUUUAUCACAGAGUAAGCCAAUGUAUAGGAUAUGUUGGUUGCAAGUAUGUGAGGAAUCAGCCACGGCUAACUACGUGCCAGCAGCCGCGGUAAUACGUAGGUGGCAAGCGUUGUCCGGAUUUACUGGGUUUAAAGGGUGCGUAGGCUGUUAAAUAAGUCAGAAGUGAAAUCCUGUCGC